rnacentral:rRNA from 1 species
UGGGGAAUUUUGCACAAUGGGGGAAACCCUGAUGCAGCGACGCCGCGUGAUUUAGAAGGCCUUCGGGUUGUAAAAAUCUUUUGUAUGGGAAGAAAAUGACAGUACCAUAGGAAUAAGGACCGGCUAAUUACGUGCCAGCAGCCGCGGUAAUACGUAAGGUCCGAGCGUUGUCCGGAAUCAUUGGGCGUAAAGGGUACGUAGGCGGGUAAGCAAGUUAGAAGUGAAAUCCUGUAGCUCAACUACAGUAAGCUUUUAAAACUGCUCAUCUUGAGAUAUGGAAGGGAAAGUGGAAUUCCUAGUGUAGCGGUGAAAUGCGCAGAUAUUAGGAGGAAUACCGGUGGCGAAGGCGACUUUCUGGCCAUAAUCUGACGCUGAGGUACGAAAGCGUGGGUAGCAAACAGG